rnacentral:tRNA from 3 species
GGAGAGGUGGCAGAGUGGCUGAACGCGCACGCUUGGAAAGCGUGUUUACGGAAACGUAACGGGGGUUCGAAUCCCCCUCUCUCCG